UGGACAUAGAGCUGAUGUGUGCAUUGGACAUACAGCUUAGGUAGACAUUAGGAUGUGGCUUGCCUGAGUGUUAUGCAGUAAUUCCUAAAUUUGAAUUAUCUGUUUCCUAAAAUAACGCUUCCCUUUGCAGUGAAUCAAUUGUGACUCAGAUCUCAGGAUGGACCAACUCUGAGGCUCUGUAGCCCUCUCAAGCCUUCCUAAGUAACACAGUCUCAAGGUCCUUUUGCCUCCCUUCUCAUGAUAUUUGUGGUAUUUUAUGGCUACAUCAUCUUCUGGUGGUAAUUAAGGGACAAUUCAAUGGGAAAUGAGUCUGUGCAUUAGAGAGGAGUAGGUGACCUGGAGACCUGGUAGCCAGAACUCAAAGCUGGGAAGAAGCCAGGCCACAUUUCCUUAGUGACUCUUUUCAAAGAGGAACUGCCUCAGAUGACAGUGUCUACAAGAAGUACAGUGGAAAAUAAGAACAUGCUCUGAGAAGAAAGAGAAAAACUGAGUGCUCCAGCCUCCCUAAUCCACACAUCUACUCAGAUGCCCAGAAGUUAACCGAAGUCCAAAGGGCUGCAGUGUUUUUUUAAGCUGAAUAUUUCUUCUCACUGGGGACCACGGUAAUUAAUUGCUUGAGCAAAGAAUGACAUGUACCGCACCAUAUUGCUUGCAGAAGUUGCUGAUGCCCAGAAGCAAAGAUAAUACUACAUUCCCUCUAUUCUCCAGCCUCUCCCCUGGGAAUUCAAAUCAGUAACAACCCAUUAGAUCUCAACACUGCUUCCAAGAAAUGUGGCUAAACCAGCAUUUCUUUGGAGGUAACAAAAAUAAAUGGGACUCAAAAGAAAAGCAAUUCACCUAUGAAACUCUGAGAGUUCCAAACAUCAGCAUAUCUCAGCUUUCUUGGGAUUUUUUUUUAUUUUUAUUCUGCAUUUUCUAAAUGGCAUUGAUUCAGCCCCUGUAGAUGGGCCGUGACGGCGCACAUCUGGUUUUAUGGUUAAGGAAAUAGCUGAUUGAAUCAAUACACUCAACACAGCUGACUGGAGUAAAUAAAAGGGGAUUUGAAGGAAGCCUUGUUUUCUCCUUGAUGGGUAAGUCUACUGUCAGUGCUGCUGCAGUUGCCCUGGAGCCAGUGGAGUGACACGAAGAUGAAAGAGUGGCUGUUGUAUUUCUUCAUGAACUGAGCUUGCUCGUUCUCUGUCCGUCAUAACUUUAGUUUGGGGAGAACUUUGCUCUUAAAAAGCAGCAACCCUUUAUACCUUCAGUAAAAGCGAGAGCCAGCAGCCUGGGCCCUCUGCAGGAAAGUGAGACUGACCCACUGGGUAAAUGAUUUCCAUCGCUGGAUUCCGUGAUCACACCUAAUUUUUCUGCAUGGAGCAGUUAUCAGACAUGAGUUUCUUUGUUCUCACAAGCCCAUGGGAAGAGAUGGGGAAAUGGUAGAAGAAAGCGUUGUAUCCUGAAGGGAGACCAUCAGGGUGUAGCACUAGGAAGUUUUGGGGUUUCAAACCUGGCAGCAAAUCUAGCCUCAGAGUAAAUGAACCACAAAACUCCUGUGGAGCCCUACAGUUUCAGCUCUGGAGGUCACAGGUUCAUGUUUCUCUGCUUCAACCUCGGGUACAAUGUAACUCUAAAAAUUCUCUGUGGGGGCAUUUGAAAAAAAAAAGUCCCCAUCACCUUUACAGUGAUAGAACAGCCAGAGAGUGGCACCGGAACAGUUAGUGGGAAGCCACGAUGAACCUGACCUGCCAGAGUGAUCCCUUGGGUGGGCAAAAUGCUACAAGCAGCAGCUCACUGCUCCCUGUGCCUGCCAGGUGCAUACCACAUUCCCUCAGAGCAACUGGCUGGCUGUAACCAUUCCAGCAACUUACCCUUAAGCUGAUAAUUGAAGUGAUAUCUCCAGCCUUCAUUUCUACCUGUCAUUUGAAGUCUAUGUCACCUGAAGCCCUUGGCUGCACCCCAGCAAAGAAAGCAUCACCUGCCUGCCCCAGGCAGCCCAGCUCCACCCCAAGGGUGCAUCUCCUGCAGGUGUGAAGUGAAGGUGUCACGUGGGAGUUCGUUCCUGAGUGGAAGAAAACACUUGGUUCUGGGAAUACACGUGGAGGAAAAGUGUAACAGGUUUGCAUGACAGAGUGUAGUUCUCCCUUGGUAAGGGAACUUACCAAAGAAAGGGUGAUAGGCGUCCUCACCG